rnacentral:rRNA from 1 species
UACGAAGGGGGCUAGCGUUGCUCGGAAUCACUGGGCGUAAAGCGCACGUAGGCGGCUUGUUAAGUCAGAGGUGAAAGCCUGGAGCUCAACUCCAGAACUGCCUUUGAUACUGGCAAGCUUGAGUUCGGGAGAGGUGAGUGGAACUGCGAGUGUAGAGGUGAAAUUCGUAGAUAUUCGCAAGAACACCAGUGGCGAAGGCGGCUCACUGGCCCGAUACUGACGCUGAGGUGCGAAAGCGUGGGGAUCAAACAGG